rnacentral:rRNA from 1 species
UACGGAGGGUCCGAGCGUUAUCCGGAUUUAUUGGGUUUAAAGGGUGCGCAGGCGGUACAAUAAGUCAGUGGUGAAAUCCCGAGGCUCAACCUCGGAACUGCCAUUGAUACUGUUGUACUAGAGUAUAGACGAAGUAGGCGGAAUGUAGCAUGUAGCGGUGAAAUGCUUAGAUAUGCUACAGAACACCGAUUGCGAAGGCAGCUUACUAGACUAUUACUGACGCUAAUGCACGAAAGCGUGGGGAGCGAAC